AGCAGCCGCGGUAAUUCCAGCUCCAAUAGCGUAUAUUAAAGUUGUUGCAGUUAAAAAGCUCGUAGUUGAAUUUCGGGAUCAAUUUGCUGGUCGUGCCUCUGGUACGUACUGGUAUUAUUGGUUUCUCCCUUCUGACGAACCAUGAUGUCAUUAAUUUGAUGUCGUGGAGAAUCAGGACUGUUACUUUGAAAAAUUAGAGUGUUUAAAGCAGGCAUUAGCUUGAAUACAUUAGCAUGGAAUAAUGAAAUAGGACGUUUGAUCCUAUUUUGUUGGUUUCUAGGAUUGACGUAAUGAUUAAUAGGGAUAGUUGGGGGCAUUAGUAUUCAAUUGUCAGAGGUGAAAUUCUUGGAUUUAUUGAAGACUAACUACUGCGAAAGCAUUUGCCAAGGAUGUUUUCAUUAAUCAAGAACGAAAGUUAGGGGAUCGAAGACGAUCAGAUACCGUCGUAGUCUUAACCAUAAACUGUGCCGAC
rnacentral:misc_RNA from 1 species